ACACGCUCUGUAGAGCAGUUUGUCCAUUUAGGGCUACUGUAGAAACAUGGCUGCACAAAAUGGCGACUUCCGUGUAAGAGGGACCCGCGGUGUAUGUAAAUGGCUCAUUCUAAGUACUGGUCAAUGCCGAGCCGUCUCACUCCUGUUGCAUUUGAUGCAUUUCUUGGCACUCGGUUAGGAGAGAUAAAACAAGCGUCGGGGAAAUUAACAUGCCAGUCAUACAGAUUAGAGGGGGCAUCAGUGUAAAGUCAGACCUGCUUCAAUCAAGGUUCACUGCAGUUGUGUGCUGAUAUGCAGCCCUGUGAGGCUUGUAGAACAGCUGGCAGUAAUUGAAACAAAACAUUGGCUGAUUAAGCCAGCAUCUGACAACCCAUGAUCCAAACAGCAUGCCUGAUGCAAAUCAAAAAAACACAAGCUCCAAACACAAGAGGCCCUGGAAUGAAGUGGUCAUCAUCUAAUUAACACAAAAUGUUUUAAUUACAGGCUAAACCAAGCAGCACAGUGUGUCAAUUUAACUGAUGCGGUAAGUGGCGGUUUACAAUAUCAGAAAGUGACAAAUAAUUGGAAUCUAAUUGCAGCAGGUCUAUUGCCCACCAGUGCCCGAAGCAGCUCAUCUUAAUAAACUUUUCUCUUUUAUUUUUUUAACAUCAAACCCGUGAAUAGCAAACACUACCGCCCCUGCUAAUUGCCACGUCGCAGGAUUGGGAAUUUGCCAGCUCUGACUAUUAAAGCAAAGCUCUUGUGUGGAUUGCUGUUGCAUUGCCACACUUUAAUUAGAAUGAAACGAGGGGUAGGAACGGAGUCUUGUUACUGCAAUUCAAUAUAUGUAAAUAAGAUAAUGCACUAAUCUGUCCAUUUCAUUUCCAAAAGCCUACGCAGACCGUGGGCUCGGUAAUAAGGGCUAGACCCUCUCUUGGUAACAUAAGUAGACUGGUGUGAAUGACAUGAUAGAGACAGUUUUUUUUUCUGGGAUUUUUUUUUUUUUUUUCUCAGGCAUAUUAGAAUCAAAAGGUAUUCAUGUUUUGCAAAGAUACUCCAACUUAAUUUUGUUGUGUUAGCUUUUUUUUGUGUGUCUAUAUAGUUUUUUUUUUAAUUAAUUUUUAUUUUAGGACAUCAAGUUAAACUAAAUUAAAAUGAGAAUUGUCUUGGCAACUAGAUUAAAUAAUAUAUAUAUAUUUUUAAAUAUUUUAUUUUAUUUCAGUUAACAUUUAUUUUAUUCAAGUAAUGAAAAUGUAUUUUUAUGUUUUAGUUUUGGUUUUAGUUGUGGUUGACUGAAAAUGAAUUCAUUUCAAGUCUUGAAUAAAUAAGUAAAAAAUGAGAAUAUAGAAUUAUAAUAUAUGUGUGUGUGUGUGUGUGUGCAUGUGUGUGUAUGUAUAUGGUUUACAGGGACUCUCCAUAGACGUAAUGGUUUUUAUACUGUACAAACUAUUUUCUAUCCCCCUACACUACCCCUACCCCUAAACCUACCCAUCACAAAAAACUGCAUUUUUUGAAUUUUAAAAAACACUGUUUAGUAUGUUUUUUAAGCCAUUAGGUUUACAAGGACACAGGAA